rnacentral:rRNA from 1 species
GCCACCGAAAGGUGGUCUAAUACCUUAUAGUAUCCAUCUCGUAUGGAUUAAAGCUUUAUGCGCUUUGGGAGGGGCCUGCGUUUGAUUAGCUAGUUGGUGAGGUAAAAGCUCACCAAGGGCGACGACCAAUAGCUGGUUUGAGAGGAUGACCAGCCACACUGGGACUGAGAUACGGCCCAGACUCCUACGGGAGGCAGCAGUAAGGAAUCUUCCACAAUGGGGCAACCCUGAUGGAGCAAUACCGCGUGCAGGAUGAAGCGUUUCGGCGUGUAAACUGCUUUUAUCACCGAAGAUUAUGACUGUAGGUGAAGAAUAAGGACCGGCUAACUACGUG